rnacentral:rRNA from 1 species
AGGACGAACGCCGGCGGCGUGCUUAACACAUGCAAGUCGAACGGUGAUCUCGGUGCUUGCACCGGGUGAUCAGUGGCGAACGGGUGAGUAACACGUGAGUAACCUGCCCCCGACUCUGGGAUAACCCCGGGAAAUCGGAGCUAAUACCGGAUACGAGACGCACAGGCAUCUGUAGCGUCUGGAAAGAAUUUCGGUCGGGGAUGGACUCGCGGCCUAUCAGCUAGUGGUGGGUAACGCCACAAGGCGACG